rnacentral:rRNA from 1 species
GAUGAACGCUAGCUACAGGCUUAACACAUGCAAGUCGCGGGGCAGCAUGGGGGUUGCUUGCAAUCCCCGAUGGCGACCGGCGCACGGGUGAGUAACGCGUAUCCAACCUGCCCUUCACCACGGGAUAACCCGGCGAAAGUCGGACUAAUACCGUAUGUUGUCCAUUGACGGCAUCCGAUUUGGACGAAAGGUUUGGCGGUGAAGGAUGGGGAUGCGUCCGAUUAGCUGGACGGCGGGGUGACGGCCCACCGUGGCGACGAUCGGUAGGGGUUCUGAGAGGAAGGUCCCCCACACUGGAACUGAGACCCGGUCCAGACUCCUACGGGAGGCAGCAGUGAGGAAUAUUGGUCAAUGGGCGUAAGCCUGAACCAGCCAAGUAGCGUGCAGGAUGACGGCCUUAUGGGUUGUAAACUGCUUUUAUGCGGGGAUAAAGUGGCCCACGUGUGGGUUUUUGCAGGUACCGCAUGAAUAAGGACCGGCUAAUUCCGUG